UCUUGUGGAGGAGCAAAGAAAGUGGUUUCUUGAGGUGGAAUCUACUCCUGGUGAGAAUGCUAUGAA
rnacentral:pre_miRNA from 1 species